CCUUAGCUCAGUUGGUAGAGCGCUACCUUUGCAAGGUAGAUGUCAGGAGUUCGCACCUUAUCUGCAGGA
rnacentral:tRNA from 1 species